AACGAACGCUGGCGGCAUGCCUAACGCAUGCAAGUCGAACGAGACCUUCGGGUCUAGUGGCGCACGGGUGCGUAACGCGUGGGAACCUGCCCUUAGGUUCGGAAUAACUCCCCGAAAGGGGUGCUAAUACCGGAUAAUGUCUUCGGACCAAAGAUUUAUCGCCUUUGGAUGGGCCCGCGUUGGAUUAGCUAGUUGGUAGGGUAAAAGCCUACCAAGGCGACGAUCCAUAGCUGGUCUGAGAGGAUGAUCAGCCACACUGGGACUGAGACACGGCCCAGACUCCUACGGGAGCAGCAGUGGGGAAUAUUGGACAAUGGGCGAAAGCCUGAUCCAGCAAUGCCGCGUGAGUGAUGAAGGCCUUAGGGUUGUAAAGCUCUUUUACCCGGGAUGAUAAUGACAGUACCGGGAGAAUAAGCUCCGGCUAACUCCGUG
rnacentral:rRNA from 1 species